rnacentral:rRNA from 1 species
CACACUGGUACUGAGACACGGUCCAGACUCCUACGGGAGGCAGCAGUGGGGAAUAUUGCACAAUGGGCGCAAGCCUGAUGCAGCCAUGCCGCGUGUAUGAAGAAGGCCUUCGGGUUGUAAAGUACUUUCAGCAGUGAGGAAGGGGUGUACGUUAAUAGCGUGCAUCCUUGACGUUAGCUGCAGAAGAAGCACCGGCUAACUCCGUGCCAGCAGCCGCGGUAAUACGGAGGGUGCGAGCGUUAAUCGGAAUUACUGGGCGUAAAGCGCAUGCAGGUGGUUCGUUAAGUCAGAUGUGAAAGCCCGGGGCUCAACCUCGGAACUGCAUUUGAAACUGGCGGGCUAGAGUACUGUAGAGGGGGGUAGAAUUUCAGGUGUAGCGGUGAAAUGCGUAGAGAUCUGAAGGAAUACCAGUGGCGAAGGCGGCCCCCUGGACAGAUACUGACACUCAGAUGCGAAAGCGUGGGGAGCAAACAGGAUUAGAUACCCUGGUAGUCCACGCCGUAAACGAUGUCUACUUGGAGGUUGUGGCCUUGAGCCGUGGCUUUCGGAGCUAACGCGUUAAGUAGACCGCCUGGGGAGUACGGUCGCAAGAUUAAAACUCAAAUGAAUUGACGGGGGCCCGCACAAGCGGUGGAGCAUGUGGUUUAAUUCGAUGCAACGCGAAGAACCUUACCUACUCUUGACAUCUACAGAAGCCAGCGGAGACGCAGGUGUGCCUUCGGGAACUCUGAGACAGGUGCUGCAUGGCUGUCGUCAGCUCGUGUUGU